CAUUUAAAGAGUGCGUAACAGCUCACUAGUCGAGCGAUCGUGCGUGGAUAAUAAGCGGGCAUUAAGUGUAUUACCGAAGCUAUGGAUUUGUAGUAAUACAUCUGGUAGGGGAGCAUUCUAGUCAGCGUAGAAGGUGCAUGGUGAUGUGUGCUGGAGCGGCUAGAAAAGCAAAUGUAGGAAUAAGUAACGAUAAUGCAGGCGAGAAACCUGCACACCGAAAGACUAAGGUUUCCUGGGCGACGCUAAUCGUCCCAGGGUUAGUCGGGACCUAACGCGAACCCGAAGGGGGUAGUGGAUGGCGAACGGGUUAAUAUUCCCGUACUUGCUUUAACUGCGAUGGGGUGACGGAGUAUUGAAAGGACCGCGUACUGACGGAAUAGUACGUUGAAGGUUGUAGCUAUAGGCUGUGUAGUAAAAUGCGCACGGCUUGGCAAAGACCGAUAGUACCGCGCGGCUUCGGCCAAGUGGAUAGUGUCCCUAAAAGCUUCCAAGAAAAACCUCUAAGCUUCAGGUUAGAGCAACUCGUACCGUAAACCGACACAGGUAGUCGAGGAGAGAAUCCUAAGGUGCUCGAGUGAGUCGUGGCUAAGGAACUAGGCAAAAUAGUCUCGUAACUUCGGAAGAAGAGACGCCAUCAGCAAUGGUGGCCGCAGUGAAGAGGCCCAGGCGACUGUUUAUCAAAAACACAGGACUCUGCUAAAUCGAAAGAUGCUGUAUAGGGUCUGACACCUGCCCGGUGCUGGAAGGUUAAGGAAGGUGCUUAGCGUAAGCGAAGGCAUUGACUGAAGCCCCAGUAAACGGCGGCCGUAACGAUAACGGUCCUAAGGUAGCGAAAUUCCUUGUCGGGUAAGUUCCGACCCGCACGAAAGGCGUAAUGAUUUGGGCACUGUCUCAACGAGAGACUCGGUGAAAUUUUAGUACCUGUGAAGAUGCAGGUUACCCGCGACAGGACGGAAAGACCCCAUGGAGCUUUACUGCAGUUUGAUAUUGAGUGUCUGUACCACAUGUACAGGAUAGGUAGGAGUCUAUGAGAUCGGGACGCCAGUUUCGAAGGAGACGUUGUUGGGAUACUACCCUUGUGUUAUGGCCACUCUAACCCGGAUAGGUGAUCCCUAUCGGAGACAGUGUCUGACGGGCAGUUUGACUGGGGCGGUCGCCUCCUAAAAGGUAACGGAGGCGCCCAAAGGUUCCCUCAUCCUGGUUGGUAAUCAGGUGUCGAGUGUAAGUGCACAAGGGAGCUUGACUGUGAGACAGACAUGUCGAGCAGGGACGAAAGUCGGGACUAGUGAUCCGGCACCUACUUGUGGAUGUGGUGUCGCUCAACGGAUAAAAGGUACCCCGGGGAUAACAGGCUGAUCUUCCCCAAGAGUCC
rnacentral:rRNA from 1 species